rnacentral:rRNA from 1 species
AGUGAACGCUGGCGGUAGGCCUAACACAUGCAAGUCGAACGGCAGCACAGUAAGAGCUUGCUCUUACGGGUGGCGAGUGGCGGACGGGUGAGGAAUACAUCGGAAUCUACUUUUUCGUGGGGGAUAACGUAGGGAAACUUACGCUAAUACCGCAUACGACCUACGGGUGAAAGCAGGGGAUCUUCGGACCUUGCGCGAUUGAAUGAGCCGAUGUCGGAUUAGCUAGUUGGCGGGGUAAAGGCCCACCAAGGCGACGAUCCGUAGCUGGUCUGAGAGGAGGAUCAGCCACACUGGAACUGGUACACGGUCCAGACUCCUACGGGAGGCAGCAGUGGGGAAUAUUGGACAAUGGGCGCAAGCCUGAUCCAGCCAUACCGCGUGGGUGAAGAAGGCCUUCGGGUUGUAAAGCCCUUUUGUUGGGAAAGAAAAGCAGCAGGUUAAUACCCCGCUGUUCUGACGGUACCCAAAGAAUAAGCACCGGCUAACUUCGUG